CUUUUCCGGACGCGGAGACCCUCCUUGGAGUCGAGAAGGACCCGUCAAGAGCCCCAAAGGUAAGAGGCUAGCGCUCGGGAUUGGGGACCUCUUCCCGCGCUUCUACCGCCCGGGAUUAGGCCCUACCGCCGCCGGAUUUUCGGCAGACCGCUCCGGAUCCCAUGGUAAUUUGAAAGCGAUGGCGGAAGCGGUAGGGAUUUGGCCCCCCGCCGGCGGAUCUAAUGUCAAUAUUGAUGUUGUUUUAUGGCCGGGCGGCUAAGUAUUGGAUUAGGGUUUAAAUGGGCGACAAUCCACACGCCGCUUUCCCUUCCCCCACUUCCAGCCACCGCGUCGCUUCGGCGGCGGGAUGGCCCGCCCGAUCAUCGGGCGGUUUCCAUCCUCCCGCCCUCCUUCUCGAUAUUUCCCGGUCCAAAUCUUCUCGCCUUCCUCCGCGGUCGGUGGCCGGAUCCGGGCUCUGGAGUUUACGCCGUCCGAGAUCGGGUGGAAAGCCCAGCAUCCGCUAGACUUUCCCGUGUUCCCGGUUGCGGGCCACGGGCGGGAACGAUAGGCGGCCUCAUCCCCACCAGGAAAAUAUCCGUCGGGGGAGGCUAAAUCCCCGCGUUUAACAGGCCGUCAUUCGUCCUCGACGGUAUUUUGACUUUAUUGGCGUUUUCCGGCUAACGAUAACCGUCACACGUUAGCUAUCAAUAAUGAAGCCAGCUCCAUAAAUAUUCGAUUUGCGAUUACGCGUUUAUCUCCGGACUCGGGAAUGGGGUGGAAAACACCGAUUGGACUUUUCUCACCCGUUCCCAUUCUGUUUUUGUUUCUUUUAGGCGGCUCGACGCCGUUUUCCAUUCGGUGAGCACUAAGCGGAGAGGGAUUACAGCGCCCAUCCCCUUCCCAUACUGGCGACAGCUGGGGGCCCGCCAUUACUGCUAUAACAGACGGAACUACGUACUUCCACUUUUCCUGGCCAAACUAUUUACGUUAUCUUGGCGGUCGGUCGAAGAUGUUGGGUGGAUAACGAAAAUACCUUAUAUUUUGUUUGUGGUAAAAAUUAUAUAGGUGGCCAGGAAUCCACUCCAUCCGUUAUUCGCCGUUCAUCUCCAUCCGUACCACCGACAGAUUGUACAGUUUAGUUGUGUAGGUUAUCCGCCUUCCGUCUCCUGGCUGGGAAUAUGUCAACACAGCCUUCGUUAUUCCGUGGUCUAAUACUACGGUCCAACAGAAGAGAUCGGGUGAUGGGCCGGCGCGUUUAACACUAAGGUUAAUUGGACCGAGUUGAUAAUUAAUUAAAAAGCGUCCCGGUUUCGGUCGAUAUUCUGCCAAUUAUUAUGGCUGUUUUAUCAACCGUUGUGGGUUGAAUAAAGCCACCGUCGACUUACGAAUGGCGUCUGGUCCCGUGUCAAUUGGAUGUGUAGAGGUGAAAAGGGGAAUGGAUCCGGUUCGGCCUCCGGCUGCCUACACGCGUCUUGGAGUAUAAUUAAUAGUUAGACGGUAGAAAGAGGCAUUCCCGCUACCAUCCGCCUGGGGAUGUCCACUGCCCGGGUGAAGGGCCACGGAUAACCAUCCGCGGCCCUUCAUCCCAACCCUAGAUAAUCGUCUUAUUCUUCAACACGCGCCGGUCCAGCUUCGGGAUGGAACCAAAGAGCCGAUGGGGGCAAAUACCGGUGUUUAUUCCCCGCUCGGGCCUCCCGGGUGGUUGGCCGAGACGGAAGAGGGAACUUUUGCCUUCGGCCGACUAGUCCGGUCCGAAAACAGGAUCUUAUUCGGUGGCCUUUGGCCAUCCAUUCCCAGUCGGCACCGCUCCAGUUAUUUAGCCACCGCUAUUCGAUUUAAGCGCAUUUUCCGUCGGUCGGAUUUAGUGGCCGACGGAAUUCACCGAUAACUUUAGGCGGACUCUGACAGGUCUCACCGCCAUCCAAAAAAUUAAUACCCAUUGAGGCUGGACAGCCGAAUGUUUCCAUCCAGUUGGAGGUAUAACCACAUCGAUAAAACCUGGCCGGUACAGCCUAUUCUUAUAUAUUAGAUAUUCUCAUAUAUUACGAUAGAUUUACGCUUAUCGGCUCUUCUCUACUAUCCUGUACAUCGAAGAAUGUACGGGAUAGUACAUUCUUCGAUGAGAGCCCCAUUCCCGAGGGCCGAAAAGUUUUUCGUCUGUCGCUUCCAUGAUUAUUAUUAAUGGGUCAAACCGGUCGGCCGAAUCGGCAGGGUGGAAACGCUUCGGCUUUCUGCUCUGGAGGACCAGGUUCGAAUCUCGGGUCCCAUCGCUUAAAACAUUUAUCACCAGGUCCGGGCUCGGCCCGUCUAUCUCCGUCCUCCUCUACUCGGCCGACCCCUCCGUCGGAGUAGGCAGCCUAUGGAAGGGCUGGUUUCGCCCCGUCAGUUACUAUUCUAAUCAGCCGAUUGUAAUCGAACGGAAAUUGGCGUCAUCUGUUGACCAAAAAAAUGAGUCGAACUGUAGGCCGGAUCGGCUGCU
rnacentral:lncRNA from 1 species